rnacentral:rRNA from 2 species
GCGGAGGAAAGGAAACCAACAGGGAUUGCCUCAGUAACGGCGAGUGAAGCGGCAAAAGCUCAAAUUUGAAAUCCCCCGGGAAUUGUAAUUUGAAGAGAUUUGGGUCCGGCCGGCGGGGGUUAAGUCCACUGGAAAGUGGCGCCACAGAGGGUGACAGCCCCGUGAACCCCUUUAACGCCCUCAUCCCAGAUCUCCAAGAGUCGAGUUGUUUGGGAAUGCAGCUCUAAGUGGGUGGUAAAUUCCAUCUAAAGCUAAAUACCGGCGAGAGACCGAUAGCGAACAAGUACAGUGAUGGAAAGAUGAAAAGCACUUUGAAAAGAGAGUGAAAAAGUACGUGAAAUUGUUGAAAGGGAAGGGCUUGCAAGCAGACACUUAACUGGGCCAGCAUCGGGGCGGCGGGGAGCAAAACCACCGGGGAAUGUACCUUUCGAGGAUUAUAACCCCGGCCCUUA